rnacentral:rRNA from 1 species
GAAACGACUGCUAAGACUGGAUAGGAAGAAAUAAGGCAUCUUAUUUCUUUUAAAAGACCUAGUAAUAGGUAUACUUUAGGAGGGGCUUGCGCCAUAUUAGUUAGUUGGUAGGGUAAUGGCCUACCAAGACGAUGAUGUGUAGCUGGACUGAGAGGUUGAACAGCCACAUUGGGACUGAGACACGGCCCAAACUCCUACGGGAGGCAGCAGUAAGGAAUUUUCGGCAAUGGAGGAAACUCUGACCGAGCAACGCCGCGUGAACGACGAAGUACUUUGGUAUGUAAAGUUCUUUUAUCAAGGAAGAAAAGCAAAUGGCGAACCAUUUGUUUGCCGGUACUUGAUGAAUAAGCCCCGGCUAAUUAUGUGCCAGCAGCCGCGGUAAGACAUAAGGGGCAAGUGUUAUCCGGAAUUAUUGGGCGUAAAGGGUGCGUAGGCGGUCUAGUAAGUCAGUGGUGUAAUGGCAACGCUUAACGUUGUCCGGCUAUUGAAACUGCUAAACUUGAGUUAGAUAGAGGCGAGUGGAAUUCCAUGUGUAGCGGUAAAAUGCGUAAAUAUAUGGAGGAACACCAGAGGCGUAGGCGGCUCGCUGGGUCUUAACUGACGCUGAGGCACGAAAGCGUGGGGAGCAAACAGGAUUAGAUACCCUGGUAGUCCACGCCGUAAACGAUGAGUACUAAGUGUCGGGUUAAACCGGUACUGAAGUUAACACAUUAAGUACUCCGCCUGAGUAGUACGUACGCAAGUAUGAAACUUAAAGGAAUUGACGGGACUCCGCACAAGCGGUGGAUCAUGUUGUUUAAUUCGAAGAUACCCGAAAAACCUUACCAGGUCUUGACAUGUUUUUGCAAAAUGAUAGUAAUAUCGUGGAGGUUACCAGAAACACAGGUGGUGCAUGGUUGUCGUCAGCUCGUGUCGUGAGAUGUUAGGUUAAGUCCUAAAACGAGCGAAACCCUUAUCGUUAGUUGCCAGCACGUUAUGGUGGGGACUUUAACGAGACUGCCAAUGAUAAAUUGGAGGAAGGUGAGGAUCACGUCAAAUCAGCAUGCCCCUUAUGACCUGGGCUACAAACGUGAUACAAUGGCUGUUACAAAGGGUAGCUGAAACGCAAGUUCUUGGCCAAUCCCCAAAAACAGUCCCAGUCCGGAUUGAAGUCUGCAACUCGACUUCAUGAAGUUGGAAUCGCUAGUAAUCGCGAAUCAGCAUGUCGCGGUGAAUACGUUCGCGGGGUUUGUACACACCGCCCGUCA